ACUCCUACGGGAGGCAGCAGUGGGAAUAUUGCACAAUGGGCGCAAGCCUGAACCAGCCAUGCCGCGUGCAGGAAGACGGCCCUCCGGGUUGUAAACUGCUUUUAUACCGGAAUAAACCUCCCUACGUGUAGGGAUCUGAAUGUACGGUAGGAAUAAGGAUCGGCUAACUCCGUGCCAGCAGCCGCGGUAAUACGGAGGAUCCGAGCGUUAUCCGGAUUUAUUGGGUUUAAAGGGUCCGUAGGCGGAUUAAUAAGUCAGUGGUGAAAUCCCAUCGCUUAACGAUGGAACUGCCAUUGAUACUGUUAGUCUUGAAUGAGGGUGCAGUGGUUGGAAUGUGUAGUGUAGCGGUGAAAUGCAUAGAUAUUACACAGAACACCGAUUGCGAAGGCAGAUCACUAACCCUAAAUUGACGCUGAGGGACGAAAGCGUGGGGAGCGAACAGGAUUAGAUACCCUGGUAGGCUCU
rnacentral:rRNA from 1 species